GUCUGGUGUCCAGCAGCCGCGGUAAUUCCAGCUCCAAUAGCGUAUAUUAAAGUUGUUGCAGUUAAAAAGCUCGUAGUUGAAUUUCGGGGUUAGUAGGUUGGUCAUGCCUCUGGUAUGUACUGGUCUCACUGAUUCCUCCUUCCUGAUGAACCUUAAUGCCAUUAAUUUGGUGUUUUGGGGAAUUUGGACUGUUACUUUGAAAAAAUUAGAGUGUUUAAAGCAAGCUAACGCUUGAAUACAUUAGCAUGGAAUAAUGAAAUAGGACGUUCGAUCCUAUUUUGUUGGUUUCUAGGAUUGACGUAAUGAUUAAUAGGGAUAGUUGGGGGCAUUAGUAUUCAAUUGUCAGAGGUGAAAUUCUUGGAUUUAUUGAAGACUAACUACUGCGAAAGCAUUUGCCAAGGAUGUUUUCAUUAAUCAAGAACGAAAGUUAGGGGAUCGAAGACGAUCAGAUACCGUCGUAGUCUUAACCAUAAACUAUGCCGACUAGGGAUCGGAUGAUGUUAAUUUUUAAUGACUCAUUCGGCGCCUUACG
rnacentral:rRNA from 1 species